rnacentral:rRNA from 1 species
GACGAACGCUGGCGGCGUGCUUAACACAUGCAAGUCGAACGGAAAGGCCCUGCUUUUGUGGGGUGCUCGAGUGGCGAACGGGUGAGUAACACGUGAGUAACCUGCCCUUGACUUUGGGAUAACUUCAGGAAACUGGGGCUAAUACCGGAUAGGAGCUCCUGCUGCAUGGUGGGGGUUGGAAAGUUUCGGCGGUUGGGGAUGGACUCGCGGCUUAUCAGCUUGUUGGUGGGGUAGUGGCUUACCAAGGCUUUGACGGGUAGCCGGCCUGAGAGGGUGACCGGCCACAUUGGGACUGAGAUACGGCCCAGACUCCUACGGGAGGCAGCAGUGGGGAAUAUUGCACAAUGGGCGGAAGCCUGACGCAGCAACGCCGCGUGCGGGAUGACGGCCUUCGGGUUGUAAACCGCUUUCGCCUGUGACGAAGCGUGAGUGACGGUAAUGGGUAAAGAAGUACCGGCUAACUACGUG